rnacentral:rRNA from 1 species
UACGUAGGGGGCAAGCGUUGUCCGGAAUCAUUGGGCGUAAAGCGCGUGUAGGCGGCUGAGUAAGUCUGCUCUGAAAGCCCGGGGCUCAACCCCGGGAGGCGGGUGGAUACUGCUCAGCUCGAGUCCGGAAGAGGAGUGUGGAAUUCCUGGUGUAGCGGUGAAAUGCGCAGAUAUCAGGAGGAACACCGGUGGCGAAGGCGGGUCUCUGGGUAGUAACUGACGCUGAGGAACGAAAGCGUGGGUAGCGAACAGG